UACGGGGGGGGGCGAGCGUUGUUCGGAAUUACUGGGCGUAAAGGGUUUGUAGGUGGCCUGCUAAGUCAGACGUGAAAUCCCUCAGCUUAACUGGGGAACUGCGUCUGAUACUGGCGGGCUUGAGGACAGGAGAGGAACGCGGAAUUCCAGGUGUAGCGGUGAAAUGCGUAGAGAUCGGGAGGAAGGCCGGUGGCGAAGGCGGCGCUCUGGAACAUUUCUGACGCUGAGGCUCGAAAGCGUGGGGAGCAAACAGG
rnacentral:rRNA from 1 species